UACAGUGGGGGCAAGCGUUAUUCGGAAUUAUUGGGCGUAAAGGGCGCGUAGGCGGCUUUUCAAGUGACGGGUGAAAUCCCUCGGCUUAACCGGGGAACUGCGUCUGAUACUGGAUGGCUUGAGUUUGGGAGAGGGAUGCGGAAUUCCAGGUGUAGCGGUGAAAUGCGUAGAUAUCUGGAGGAACACCGGUGGCGAAGGCGGCAUCCUGGACCAACACUGACGCUGAGGAGCGAAAGCCAGGGGAGCAAACGGG
rnacentral:rRNA from 1 species